CAAAAUUGCUAUAGUGUCCAGUGCCUAUAUAGAACAUAUAGUAAAAAUAACUGUGGUCUUAGGCCUGAUAUAGUGGAAAAUGUCAGAAAGUAAAUUGUCAAUAUUUUUGUUAUUUUUCAAUCUACAUGGCUGAAAUUUUGACAGUGAAUGGCUGGUAGGCAUAGAAAUCUGUACCUAAAAACCUGAAAUGAGAGCGCUCGGACAAUGUGAAGUUUGUCGCAUAGACGGGGAUUGACCGCCUUUGUACAUAUAUGUCUACAGCUUCUCAGAUUUGACCGAAGACAGUUGUUCGGUGUUGUGAAUGGAUGUUGUUCGGCCGAAGGCCUUCCAGUCACACAGAAGAUCCUGGUUCGGUCACACGAAGGGUCACUUCCAUUGGUAUUAGUCACAGGAACAAUUAGGAGCACCAGUUGUAGUUUCUCAGGUUGAUAUUUAUUAAGGUUUUUGCUGAAAUUAAGCCAGUUUGGAACAUUCAGCAGGCAGUGAUGUACAUUAAAAUCAUUCUUUUUAGAGAUAGGGGCUGUUUUGCCAGAAUGCUCAGCUGUGAUACACAGUGUAAGAUUUUGUGCAGUGUAAAUGGUCAUGGUGUGCAUGUUUCAUUUACAGAGUGCACUGAAUGCCUGUAAACUGUAAGAUUUGAGUGAAAUAUUCAUUCCAGAAGGACUCAUAAGCUUUUUAGU